rnacentral:rRNA from 1 species
GAUGAACGCUGGCGGCGUGCCUAAUACAUGCAAGUCGAGCGAACGGACGAGAAGCUUGCUUCUCUGAUGUUAGCGGCGGACGGGUGAGUAACACGUGGAUAACCUACCUAUAAGACUGGGAUAACUUCGGUAAACCGGAGCUAAUACCGGAUAAUAUUUUGAACCGCAUGGUUCAAAAGUGAAAGACGGUCUUGCUGUCACUUAUAGAUGGAUCCGCGCUGCAUUAGCUAGUUGGUAAGGUAACGGCUUACCAAGGCAACGAUGCAUAGCCGACCUGAGAGGGUGAUAGGCCACACUGGAACUGAGACACGGUCCAGACUCCUACGGGAGGCAGCAGUAGGGAAUCUUCCGCAAUGGGCGAAAGCCUGACGGAGCAACGCCGCGUGAGUGAUGAAGGUCUUCGGAUCGUAAAACUCUGUUAUUAGGGAAGAACAUAUGUGUAAGUAACUGUGCACAUCUUGACGGUACCUAAUCAGAAAGCCACGGCUAACUACGUG